rnacentral:lncRNA from 1 species
UGAUGGCGACGGGCGUGAAGAUGACCAGAUCGAGUCUGUAGCGUGUGUGUCCCCCGGCGUGAGCCCGUGGUUGCGUUCGUGGAGUGAAGGAGCUGCAUGCGCAGAGCCGUUGCGAUCUGUUGGAGUCAGGUGCGAUGUGCGCGCGGCUGGAGGGAGUUAGUUGCAAGCUAGCUAGAUGGUUGGCCGGGUCAUGCUAGUGCAUGCAUGGGCUAGCCCGGCGGGUCAUGUGGUCAUGCAUGGAUAUGGAUCGUGCAUGUAGUGGUUAGCUUAGUGCGUGAGUUAGUUGCCGGGUGUGCAGGCCGUGUGGUGUGUGUGCACGGGUAUAAAAACCCCUCCUCCAUGUACUGAUCGAGUUGAGCCGGUGUGUAGCCAUGUAGCCACUGUAAGGAAGAAAAGGAUUGGGGCGUUCGUGCGCCCGUGGCGGCGUUCGUGCGCCGGCCGGAAAAUCUUGUGUCUUCUUCUACCUCUAGUCGGGUGUGAGAGAGGGCUGCGGUUCCAACAAUUGGCAUCAGAGCUUCGAGUUCGGAGGAGCUCGCCGGCGAUGGCGCUCGUCCCGUGCGGCGGCGGAGCACGGUGAUGUCGUGCGUGCGGGGAGCGCGGCGGCCGCGGCGGACCAGCGCGGUGGCGCAGAGGCUGCGGUGGCGCGGCGUGGCUCGGCGGAGGGAAGGCCAAGCUCCGGGACACGCCGGAUCGGCCGCGUUGAUCGCGUCGGAGCGCGAUCAUGGCGCGAGCUGGAGGCGUGCGGAGUGUGGCGAAUAAGCCGCGACGACGGGUCUGGCAUGUCUAGCGCGUGUAUGGGCACGAGCUGGACGCGUCGGGCGCGUCGGGACCGCGGGAGUGGACUGCGUCGAGGCGCUGGACGCCUGGACCUGGUUGCGCAGAUCGCGUACGUGCGCGGCGGGAGCGCGGGACGGGAGCGCGGGGACGUGGGGAGUGCGCGCGAAGGGCACGACGGUCGCGGAGACGAGGAGGUCGCGAAGGACCUGCGUGGUGGCGCAGAGGUCGCGACGGCUCGGGGCGACAACCGUGGAAGGUGCGUGGCACGGAGGCACAGCGUGGCGGCUGCCAUGGCGGACACGGAGGCGGCACACGGUGAGCGUCUGGUGCUGUCGGGCUCGUCGGGCGCGUCGGGUGCGCGCGGGACGUGCGAGGCGCCGAGGGACGUCAGGCGUGUGUCGCCAGCGGAGAAGGAGCUCGGCGUGUGCGCCGGAGUCGUGACGGAGCACGGUGCGACCGGCGUCGUUGCGCCAGGUCGGGUCCGCGGGCUGGGUCACGGUCGUGACGAGAUCGAUGACAGGAGCUGCAACAACUCCGACGACGACGAUGUCAUGGCUUAGGGGGUGAGUGAUGGCAAUAAGCCAUGCACAUGGUGAUGGCGACGGGCGUGAAGAUGACCAGAUCGAGUCUGUAGCGUGUGUGUCCCCCGGCGUGAGCCCGUGGUUGCGUUCGUGGAGUGAAGGAGCUGCAUGCGCAGAGCCGUUGCGAUCUGUUGGAGUCAGGUGCGAUGUGCGCGCGGCUGGAGGGAGUUAGUUGCAAGCUAGCUAGAUGGUUGGCCGGGUCAUGCUAGUGCAUGCAUGGGCUAGCCCGGCGGGUCAUGUGGUCAUGCAUGGAUAUGGAUCGUGCAUGUAGUGGUUAGCUUAGUGCGUGAGUUAGUUGCCGGGUGUGCAGGCCGUGUGGUGUGUGUGCACGGGUAUAAAAACCCCUCCUCCAUGUACUGAUCGAGUUGAGCCGGUGUGUAGCCAUGUAGCCACUGUAAGGAAGAAAAGGAUUGGGGCGUUUGUGCGCCCGUGGCGGCGUUCGUGCGCCGGCCGGAAAAUCUUGUGUCUUUUUCUACCUCUAGUCGGGUGUGAGAGAGGGCUGCGGUUCCAACAAGGGAUACACAUAGCCCCGCCUCUGUUAGUAAGUUUCUGACAUUAAGAGCUUAUUGAAAAUAUGAUUUCUUG